AGCGGCCCCCGCGCAGGUUUCCCUUUGGAGGAACUGGACUGAACCAUGGGACGGAGAGGGGGUUGACGGAGAGGAAAAGAAGCGGGCGCGCGCCAAGCUUGGGCUAGAGCGUGCUCCUCCGCUUUGGGAGAUACCAUUCGCGGCCCGGCCCGCCUUCCCCCCCGCCCAGGGGGAGGUGGACGCCGCCGGCGCUCAGACUCACCUCGGCAUCCACUGUGGCCAUGGCCGGAGCAGCCCCGGAGCGUAGCCCCGCCCCCUAUCGGAGGCUUCCCUCGCCCUCAGCGCGCCCCCUCCCCGCCCGCUCCAUUCAUUUGCGCGCGGGGCAGCCACUGCGCCUGCGCCGCCCCGCACCAUGGCGCCGCCCAUCGGUCCUCCCCGGCUGUCAUGGCGGCGCCCAGGAAGCUCACUCCCUGUACGGCCUGAGGCCCUAAAGCACAUGAUGGCGAUGGGGAGCAAUUAUUGGCGGGAAGGGGGAGCUGGAGAAAGGAGAUGCAUUUAUUUAUUGAUUGAUUUUUCUUUUUCAUGUUUGCAAUCCAAUUCUUCAAGAAUUGCAGAAACAUAAAGCAAGAUUUCUAGUAGUUUGCUGGGGUUUCAGGGAAACCCUGAACAUUUUUUACACCUAGAUUAGGCAACAUUUUCAUAUGCUCUGGUUUUACAAUGCAGUUCUGUGCAUGCUUUAAAAACCUGCCUAUGUAUCCAUGCAUGCAUCCAGGCCAGUGUUCCCAUGCUUUGAGUUCAACUGCCCGUGUUCCUAGUUUCUGCAGCAGCAAUUCCACACCUGAUGAAACCCAAUUCCACAUCCAUGAAAGCUGAUGCAAUAUUGAACCAUCUUUCUGCAUUUACCUAAACCCAAGACUCGUUUCCCCCCAAGUUGUGUGAUAUUAGAAAUCAGAAGGUCAUCUUAAAUUCAGAACCCUGUUCCUUUCUGAAAAGGACGAACCUGGCUAUCGGACAUUUAAGGCAGAAAGGAAGGCCUCUCGCUGUCUUAAGAGAUAUGUGAAGUCCUGGAUAGCUCAGUGAUAAAGCUUUGCACGCAGAAGGUCCCUGGCUCACUCCCUGGCAGCAUCUCCAGCCAGAAGCGACCGCCGUCUCUUGCCCCAGAGAUUCUCACCAAGCCGGGGAAGAAGCAUUCUCUAUUCUACUGCAAUUCUUACAUCAUUUAUUCUGCUUAGUAACGCGGGAGUUGGAGGACGUUCAGCCGAAAGCCAGCAUCUCCCCCAGGGACAUGCGGUGAGUUUCCUAGCUAAUCACAGAUUUUUGCCCUGCGUUCCUCAUGUCAAGGGUUUCUUACGUCUUUAGGAACAGUACCGUAUUAGUCCCUGGAGUUAAAACUGUUCUAAUGGUUUUAAUGGCAAGAUCUUUCUUUUACUGUUCCUGUAUUUCAGUUCAUUCAUACCAACUAAAUACAUCGCAUCAUCAACAUAAUUAGAAAAAGUAAAAAGAAAAUACAAACCACCACCACCCUGGAAAUGAAUAUCUGAAAUAUAUGUAUACACCAAUGUACCCAAAAGAGUGAACCAAAAAAUACCCUUCGUCGUAAGAAUAUAACUCUAGUCAGUGCAUGCAAUUCAGUACAAUUAGGCCAAAUGCUUAAAAAGAGUCUUCUUUUCCAUUUUGUCAGAGAGAGGGGGAAAAACUUGUCCAAACAAUGAUGGGGAACAUAUCUCAGUAAUCUACAACUGCAAGCCAGUCUUACUGUGACAAAUUUCUAUCGAUGAACCCACAGACAGCCUGAUCCUUCUCCUGUUAUACUUUUAUUCCAUACUCCGAAGUAAUAUAGGGAGGAGAGCCGGUCUUGGCGUAAAGCAAAGUGUGCCGUUGUGUCGGUGUCGACUCAUGGCAACCACAGAGCCCUGUGAUUUUCUUUUCUUGAAUACAGGUAGAAUUUUGGUAGAAUCGCUGCUGCCCGAUAGAGGUGUUUCCCAUCGUCUGGGGAAUACACUAGUGGGGAUUCGAACUGGCAACCUCUGGCUUGCUAGUCAAGUCAUUUAUCCGCUGUGCCAUUGGUAAGAAGCCUUAAUUGUCCUUGCUAAGCAGGUUCUGCCUUGGUUUGCAUUUGAAUGGGAGACUACCUGCAUGAGCACCGACUGCUACUCCCCUUAGGGGGUGUGGCUGUAGCUCAGUGGAAGAGAAUCAUGCAGAAGGUCCCGGGUUCAGUUCCUGGCAGCUCUAGGAAGGGCUGGGAAAUACUUCUGCCAGAAACUCAGGAGAGCUGCUGCCCGUCAGAUCAGACAGUACUGAACUCGGUAGACCAAAGUUUUGACUCAGUACACAGCCGUUUCCUAGGGCUCAGUGGUAGAGCAUCUGCCUGCCUGCAGAAGCUCCCAGGUUCAGUCCCAAGUAGGGCUGGGAGAGACUCCAGCCUGAAAGUUUGAAGAGCUGCUGCCAGUCAGUGUAGACAACACUGAGCUAGGCGGACCACUGGUCUGACUCAGGAGACGGCAGCUCACUGUGUUCCUAAUAUUUUAAAAGCACCCAACAUUUAUAGUACUGAUGCCUGACAAGGAUGCAUCCCAAAGGGUCGUGAGAACGUAAGCGCAGCCCUGCUGGAUCAGACCCCAUCUAGUCCAGCAUCCUGCCAAGGGCAUGCCCUCUCUCCCCUGCAAACGACACACAUUCAAGGGGACCUUGUAUUCUCGGAACCUUUCAUGAUUCACGCCAGCGAUAUUUCCGGGAGCGGAUGAUGGCCAAGAUGAAAAUGGCUCUCAAGCAUGCCAAAUGUUGGCCAAAGCGAAAUCCGGAUUUAGAGGUGGUGCAGCCCGAUCUUGGCAGGAGUCACAAGCUUCCGUUCCGUUGACGUCACGAGGCCGCACUUCCAGGAUGCCUGUGACGGCACUCAUUGGCUUUUGAACCUCCGGGGCUUUGCAGACCAGCGGGCCAGCUUGUUCUCCUCCUGCAUGGCUGAUGCAGGAAAAAAAACCUCCAGGCGGCUGGAGGUGGGAGCUUGAUUUCCUGGUCAACUUGCCCUGCAAUUAAAUCAUCAAGGGAAGGGUUCAUUGGCCAGCUUCCCAGGCAUGUGUUUCAAACAUAAAAGCUCCUGCUUGAAUCAGAGAGAGGCUGGAACAACUGUCCAUUUUGCCAGAUCUGGAGUCCCCCCCCCGCCCCGUCAGGGAGGCAGCUUGGGACCUUCGGCAUGCAAAUGUUCUUCCCAGCAAGGGGAAUCUCUUCCAGGGCUCACACAUCUCAUCUCCCCUCCAAAGGCAGACCAGGGCCGGCCCUGCUUAGCAAAGGGGGCCAUUCACGCUUGCGGCCACCAGACCGGCUCUCCUCCCCUGUCCAAGCGGUCGGCCCUGACCCCAUCCCAGUCCUUUGAGUCUGGCAUGCCGAAAUUAAAAAGCAACCAUCGUUUCUACGCCACCCAAGGAAAACCUUUGACGGUCACUCCAGCCACGGGAGCAACUCCUGGUCGGGCAAGAGGCCAACCAGCUGGGCACGCCUCAUGCUGCUGGCUGGCUUCAUGGUGGCCCCACGGUGUGUACAUAGUACGGAUGUGGCAUCUGAGCUACCUCCGUGCCCGUCAGUCGGGCGGAGAGACUGCAGUGAGAAUUGACCCCACAAGGGAGGGAGAGAGAAAUGCAGGUCACUAAAAGACACACACACACACCCGCCAUGGCAGAACAUGAAGAGUGUGGCACAAAAGCUUGCAGGCCUUGGCUUUCAGCUGAACUAGGCCGCCCGGCCCCGCCCGGCCCUCUGCAGAGAGGCAAAGCCGGCAUGAAAAGAGAGAUGCUGCCACCCAGUGGCCACUGGGCGGAACAGGCGGGCAGGGAGCGGCUGCCAAAAUAAAAGUCUGCCGGCAGCAAGCCAUGGCCACCUGCAGCAAGGGCUCCCAGCUUGCAUGCGGUCCCUGCCUCCAGGACAGUGAACUCUGGGGCGUGGCGGGGUUGGGGGGCAAUGAAGGCCAUCCGCGGAGCAAUGGCGAGGGAGGGAAGGGGUAUAGCUCAGGGGAAGAGUCUCUGCUGCUUAGCGUGCAGAAGGUCCCAGGUGCCAUGGGAAAGACUCCUUGCCUGGAAUCUGCUGCUGCCAGUCGGUGCCGGCAGGACUGAGCUAGGGGGACCCAAGGUCUGACUCAGUAAAAGGCAGCUCUCGAUGCAGGAAAAAAGCAACCCCCCACGCUCAAAGGACAUGAGAGCAUGAGUACUUAUUUUUUCCUUUAGCCCAAAAGGCCACAGGGACGUUGCUUCAGGCCAAGGCGGACCUUGGUCCACCCGGCUCAGCAUCGUCUGCCCAGACUGGCAGCGGCUCUCCGAGGUCUCAGGCCAGAGCGUCUUUCCCAGGCCCACCUGGAGAAGCUGCCAGGGACUGAACCGGAGACCCCCUUCAGGAAAAGCAGAAGUCUCUGCGGCCCCCUCCCCAAAAUGAAGCAACCCAGCAAAGGCAGAGUCGAGAAGCAAAGAAGGUACCUAGGAGCCUAGCAAGCUGCAGGCUGAGUCAGACCAGCUGGGUUGUCCACACUGACUGGCAGCAACUCUCCCGAGGUCCCGGGCUGGAAUCUGUUCCUUGCCCUACCUGGAGAUGCUGCCUGGGAGCGAACCUGGGGUCUUCUGAAUCAGCCACUUUAAGUAGAUGCCCCUGAGUUCUCAGGUGUGGAGGAAAAGAAAAGAAAAAUCUCU